rnacentral:rRNA from 1 species
CCCUUAGAUGUUCUGGGCCGCACGCGCGCUACACUGUUCGACGCAGCGAGUCUUAACCUUGACCGAAAGGUUUGGGUAAUCUUCAGCAAAGUCGAACGUGAUGGGGAGCGAUCAUUGCAAUUAUUGAUCGUGAACGAGGAAUUCCUAGUAAGUGCAAGUCAUCAGCUUGCGCUGAUUACGUCCCUGCCCUUUGUACACACCGCCCGUCGCUACUACCGAUUGAAUGGUUUAGUGAGAUCUCUGGAUUGACGCUGGCUAGGGGGCGACCCUUGGCCAGACUGUUGAGAAACUGCUCAAACUUGAUCAUUUAGAGGAAGUAAAAGUCGUAACA